rnacentral:rRNA from 1 species
AACCUAAGUCUAAUCCAUGCAUGUCUACGUAUAAAUAACUACACAGUAAAACUGCGAAUGGCUCAUUUAAACAGUUAUAGUUUAUUUGAUAUAUUAUAUGGAUAACUGUAAAAAAACUAGAGCUAAUACAUGCCAUAACCGUAAGGUUGUAUUUAUUACAUAUCCCUGGUAGGUGAUUCAUAAUAACUUAGCGAAUCGUGACUCGUUCACGAUAAAUCAUUCAAGUUUCUGCCCUAUCAUGCUUUCGAUGGUAGUGUAUUGGACUACCAUGGCUCUCACGGGUAACGGAGAAUUAGGGUUCGAUUCCGGAGAAGGAGCCUGAGAAACGGCUACUACAUCUAAGGAAGGCAGCAGGCGCGUAAAUUACCCAAUCCUGAUUCAGGGAGGUAGUGACAAGAUAUAACAACGUGAAGUCAAAUUCGCGAUUGUAGUGAGGUUAUUCCAAACCGAAAUUCGAGUACGAUUGGAGGAUAAGUCUUGGUGCCAGCACCCGCGGUAAU